AGAAUACAACACAUGAUACAAUCAUUACAAUGUACAGGGUAUUAUAGUGAGAAUUAUACUGAUAAUGCACAGUAAAGGUUGAUACAAUCAUUACAAUGUACAGGGUAUUAUAGUGAGAAUUCUACUGAUAAUGCACAGUAAAGGUUGAUACAGUCAUUACAAUGUACAGGGUAUUAUAGUGAGAAUUCUACUGAUAAUGCACAGUAAAGGUUGAUACAAUCAUUACAAUGUACAGGGUAUUAUAGUGAGAAUUCUACUGAUAAUGCACAGUAAAGGUUGAUACAAUCAUUACAAUGUACAGGGUAUUAUACUGAGAAUUCUACUGAUAAUGCACAGUAAAGGUUGAUACAGUCAUUACAAUGUACAGGGUAUUAUACUGAGAAUUCUACUGAUAAUGCACAGUAAAGGUUGAUACAGUCAUUACAAUGUACAGGGUAUUAUACUGAGAAUUCUACUGAUAAUGCACAGUAAAGGUUGAUACAAUCAUUACAAUGUACAGGGUAUUAUACUGAGAAUUCUACUGAUAAUGCACAGUAAAGGUUGAUACAGUCAUUACAAUGUACAGGGUAUUAUAGUGAGAAUUCUACUGAUAAUGCACAGUAAAGGUUGAUACAAUCAUUACAAUGUACAGGGUAUUAUAGUGAGAAUUCUACUGAUAAUGCACAGUAAAGGUUGAUACAGUCAUUACAAUGUACAGGGUAUUAUAGUGAGAAUUCUACUGAUAAUGCACAGUAAAGGUUGAUACAAUCAUUACAAUGUACAGGGUAUUAUACUGAGAAUUCUACUGAUAAUGCACAGUAAAGGUUGAUACAGUCAUUACAAUGUACAGGGUAUUAUACUGAGAAUUCUACUGAUAAUGCACAGUAAAGGUUGAUACAGUCAUUACAAUGUACAGGGUAUUAUACUGAGAAUUGUACUGAUAAUGCACAGUAACGGUUGAUACAAUCAUUACAAUGUACAGGGUAUUAUACUGAGAAUUCUACUGAUAAUGCACAGUAAAGGUUGAUACAAUCAUUACAAUGUACAGGGUAUUAUACUGAGAAUUCUACUGAUAAUGCACAGUAAAGGUUGAUACAAUCAUUACAAUGUACAGGAUAUUAUUCUGAUAAUUCUACUGAUAAUGCACAGUAAAGGUAUAUACAAUCAUUACAAUGUACAGGGUAUUAUACUGAGAAUUCUACUGAUAAUGCACAGUAAAGGUUGAUACAAUCAUUACAAUGUACAGGGUAUUAUACUGAGAAUUCUACUGAUAAUGCACAGUAAAGGUUGAUACAAUCAUUACAAUGUACAGGGUAUUAUUCUGAUAAUUCUACUGAUAAUGCACAGUAAAGGUAUAUACAAUCAUUACAAUGUACAGGGUAUUAUUCUGAGAAUUCUACUGAUAAUGCACAGUAAAGGUUGAUACAAUCAUUACAAUGUACAGGGUAUUAUACUGGAAUUCUACUGAUAAUGCACAGUAAAGGUUGAUACAAUCAUUACAAUGUACAGGGUAUUAUUCUGGGAAUUCUACUCAUGCUUCAUCAUGAGUCAUGAGGGAUGGAAUUAUUUACAGGGUUUGUGAGCAGAGGGUUAAUGAGUUUACAAUAUUUCAUAUGUAUCAUUUAUAAAUAGCCUAUCAAUGAUUACAUGAAUAGCUGAAAUGUUCAUUUAGUUGGCUGUUUACUAAUCAAAUAUACUUACAAACCCUUGGUGGUAUGCCGUGUGUCUGAGUUAAUAAACAUGACAUAACUUCAUAACAUGCUGCAGCUUAAGUAGAAUAUGCUGAGACAAUAAAUACAUAUGUUGGAACACAUCCCCACAAGCCACACCUAAAAAAACGGAUUCCAGAGAAAGUUUAAACAUCACAGCUGAUAUCAAAUGGUAACUACGUAGGCUACAACAUCUAUUUUCUUUUACUUCUUAGUUCUUCAACAACAACAAGCGCUGCAAUAAAUGUGGGGAUGGAAGUCAUAUAACUAAACGUGUCUACACGGUAAUAAGUGACCGAUAAAAAAAACGAAUUCAUCAACUCGAAUGAAAUAAGGCCAAUAGACUGGAAGAUC